AUUGAACGCUGGCGGCAGGCCUAACACAUGCAAGUCGAACGAGUGGCGGACGGGUGAGUAAUGUCUGGGAAACUGCCCGAUGGAGGGGGAUAACUACUGGAAACGGUAGCUAAUACCGCAUACCAUCAGAUGUGCCCAGAUGGGAUUAGCUAGUAGGUGGGGUAACGGCUAACCUAGGCGACGAUCCCUAGCUGGUCUGAGAGGAUGACCAGCAACACUGGAACUGAGACACGGUCCAGACUCCUACGGGAGGCAGCAGUGGGGAAUAUUGCACAAUGGGCGCAAGCCGGAUGCAGCCAGGCCGCGUGUAUGAAGAAGGCCUUCGGGUGGUAAAGUACUUUCAGCGGGGAGGCGUGACCCGCAGAAGAAGCACCGGCUAACUCCGUGCCAGAAGCCGCGGUAAUUC
rnacentral:rRNA from 1 species